AGCGCAGGCGGUUUGAUAAGUCUGAAGUUAAAGGCUGUGGCUCAACCAUAGUUCGCUUUGGAAACUGUACAAACUUGAGUGCAGAAGGGGAGAGUGGAAUUCCAUGUGUAGCGGUGAAAUGCGUAGAUAUAUGGAAGAACACCAGUGGCGAAGGCGGCUGUCUGGUCUGUAACUGACGCUGAGGCUCGAAAGCAUGGGUAGCAAACA
rnacentral:rRNA from 1 species